CACGUAGGGCGCAAGCGUUGUCCGGAAUUAUUGGGCGUAAAGAGCUCGUAGGCGGUCUGUUGCGUCCGCUGUGAAAACUCGGGGCUUAACCCCGAGCCUGCAGUGGAUACGGGCAGACUAGAGGUAGGUAGGGGAGAAUGGAAUUUCCGGUGUAGCGGUGAAAUGCGUAGAUAUCGGAAGGAACACCUGUGGCGAAAGCGGCUCACUGGACCAUAACUGACGCUGAUGAGCGAAAAGCUAGGGGAGCAAACGGG
rnacentral:rRNA from 1 species